AUGAUAUAAAAUAUUGGGAAUCCUCCAUUUACCCGCCAAUUGUCCUUCUCUCUUCCACAUUAUCCAUUAAUCCCCAAUUCCUUCUAAAACCUCUCACACACCAACCGAACCUCCGAUUUCUCCCAGAAUUUCAGCCGCUGAUCAAAUGUGGAGCAAUGGUUAGUCUUCCUGUGAACCAAAGUCGUUCAAAGAUGCAUCAGUUUCAAGCCUUACCUGCUCAUAUUCAUGGAGAUAUGGUUGUACUGUUUCCUUCCAGAAAAUGCUGGCAGCAACAGAAACAACACCAUUUUCAGAGACCGGCAUUGUCUUCUUCUUCUUCUUCCUCGCCGGUGUCUGGCCGUCAGUCCAGAAGGUAUUAUUUGGGCAGAUUCAAAAGACGCUUCCGUUCUGAACCUAAUCUAAAACCACUCACUUCCCGUAUUGUUGAUCUCACUCGCAGAAGGCAACUUCAUCAGAUUUUUGUGGAAAUUGAGAUUGCGAAGAAGCGACAUGGACAGUUGAAUACCAUUAUUAUGAAUGCAGUGAUGCAGGCUUGUGUUCAUUGUGCUGAUAUAGAAUCUGCCUUGAGGGUCUUUGAUGAAAUGUCAGGCCCAGAGGGUUGUGGUGUUGAUAAUAUCACUUAUGCUACACUUCUAAAGGGUUUGGGUGAUGCCCGAAGAAUUGAUCAAGCAUUUCAAUUACUUGAGGCUGUUGAACAAGGUACUGCUGCAGGAAGUCCAAAACUUUCGCCGCCUCUUGUUAGAGGUCUACUGAAUUCUCUAAUUGAAGCAGGGGAUCUACGCCGUGCUAAUGGUCUUCUUGCACGAUAUGGUUUUGUAUUUCACGAGGGCGGAUAUCCAUCCGUCUUGGUCUACAACUUACUGAUGAAGGGGUACAUAAACACAGGUUGUCCUGAGGUAGCACUACGUUUGCAUGAUGAAAUACUAAGACAUGGACUGAACCUUGACAAGCUCACAUAUAAUACACUAAUCCUAGCAUGUGUGGAGUCUGGAAAGUUGGAUGUUGCAAUGCAGUUCUUUGAGGGCAUGAAGGACAGAGCACAAACUGUUGAUGAUGAUGACAUUUUACCGGAUGUAGUUACCUACACUACGUUGCUGAAGGGUUUUGGUCAUGCCCAGGAUCUUCUUUCAGUUCAAAAGAUUGUCAUAGAAAUGAAAUUAUCCAACAACGUGCAUAUUGAUCGAGUUGCUUACACUGCAAUCAUUGAUGCCUUCUUGAACUGUGGGACAAUAAAAGGCGCUCUGACUGUGUAUGGGGAACUACUAAAGAAAGCUGGAGAAGAUUCUAGCUUGAGGCCAAAGCCUCAUCUUUUUCUUGCUCUGAUGCGCGCUUUUGCUGUUAGAGGAGAGUAUGAAAUGGUUAAAAAACUGCAUGGACGCAUGUGGCUGGAUUCAUCCGGAACAAUCACCUCUAAAGUUAAUGAAGAGGCUGAUCAUCUCCUAAUGGAGGCAGCAUUGAGCAAUGGACAGUUGGAUUUGGCCCUACAAUACAUGAAAGGCAAUGUUGAGAAAUGGAAGAAAAUACCAUGGGCUAGUCGGGGUGGAAUGGUUGCUCUGCGAAUUGAAGCAUUACUUGGUUGCAGUGUUUCUAUAUUUAGUCCUUUCAUACUACCACAGGUGUCAGUACGUGAUACUAUUGAGCAUAUCAUGGUUCCAUUUACUGAAGCACAGCCUCUGCAAGCUACCCUGAAACUAAAGCAAGUCGUCAUGCGUUUCUUCAAGGAUUCGACUGUUCCAGUCAUAGAUGAUUGGGGAAGUUGUGUUGGAAUACUGCAUUGUGAAGACUGCAAUGAGCUGGAUGCGCCACUUUCAGCCAUGAUGAGAAGUCCACCUCCUUCUGUGACAACCUCAACAUCCAUUGGUCGUGUUAUUGAUCUAAUGCUAGAGAAGAAGUACAAAAUGGUUAUUGUCGCAAAAUACGAAAAUGUGCGCGGAAUGUUUUACAGCUCCAGUGGUCUGACAGAAAUAUUCACAGUAUAUGGAAAUUUUGGAGUUGUUGAGACAACUAAAAACUAAAUGUGUUCCGUCUGUGGGUAUGGACGAGCUUUGACUGUACCAGCAUUUAUGGAAAACAGGUUCCUCAUUGUGCUUUUUAAAAUGAGAUGAUCCCUAAAUUCAAUACGUUAUCAGAACAGCCAUCAAAGUAUAUAAAUUUGAAAAUUAAAAACACUACAAAGAAGUUGAAAAUUCAACUUAUGUAUUCACUCUAUCACCCUUCUAUUUCUUUUUUCAUUCUUUUCAUGCACGAUUUUGUAUUUCUCAAUAGUAUAUAUUAGUGAAAAACCACUUGUGAUGACAGUUUUGCUUAUGUAUUUACCGUUGGUCGAAUUAUAAGCCUAAUUGCUAGAACUUCCACUUCAAUAUCUUGUUCAAAUUUCUUCCAGUUCACAUCCUGAUAUUCAAUGUAUCAACAAGAUCAGAAAAUUUCUUCAAAGAGCCUACAACAGAGAUUUUGAUGAUGCAACAUUCGUAUUUUUCACUGGUUCUGCUUCUGUACUUUCUUCUACACCGACUUCAACUUGAUUGGGAC